ensembl:lncRNA
AUAAAGUUUUAUUUCAUAAGUUCUCUGCAAGGAAAACAGAAACAAACCCAACUUUCGUGUUCACCCCCAACUUUUAAUUUGUCAUCCAAUAACCUGGCUCCUCAAGUCCAAAAUCUGAGUAGUUUUACACUUGGCCAAUCAAUAAUGGCGGCUACAACAGGCUCCGCCUCCAAAACAGCCUUUCCUUCUCAUGGUUCAGUUAAAAAAAAAAAAAAAAAAAAAAAAAGCGCAGCACUACGCAAACUUUUGAUUGGUGGAUCUGUAAACUCGUAUCGUGGCCAUAGUAAACACUGGGGAUUACGCUGUAGUCCUGAAACACGUUAAAAACGCUUAACGAAUGCAGAGUAGCAUUUCGGUCGUCCUAAACAGAAACGAACGAAUGGUGGUGGAAAAAAAAAAAAAAGACCCGGCAGAAGACCAGACGCUCGGAGAGGAUCUGUGCGGCAGUUUAAGCAGAAGGCCGUCUGCACGUAGCGAAAAGGGCUCGUGCGUCGUUACCGUGUUCCGUAUCAGGCAAGACACCCGGCAGGAGGACUGAGACGUGGUUCGCUAUGCUACUGGCAGUGAGACAGAAGCUCCUGCUGAAACAGGAUAUUCAGCGAACGAAAAACGUUUUUUGGUCAUUUUCUUUUCUUUUUUGGGGGGUAAUUUGGAAGAAAACUGUUUUUUUUAUUUUUUUCUUUAAAUCGUAAAUUUUGCUCCGUAGGUGCAGGAGGUCUCUCAUUGGCUGAGGGCAGUGGGGGGCAGGUGAAGGUCGUGGAUCUCGUUCUGCUCGGCCUGGUUUUUGGGUGGUUUCCGUCAGUCAGUCAGUGCCGAAGGCGGGACGGCAGUUACUCGGCGGCUUCGCUCUCCUCGCCGGCCUGGCCGGUGGCGGUUUCAGCGUUCUUGGAGGCCUGUCACCAGACAGUCGUAUUCCAUAAACAACUUUUAUAUUCAUCAUGGUGUGUGUGUGAGUGUGUAUACAGGGUGGGCCAUUUAUAUGGAUCCACCUUAAUAAAAUGGGAAUGGAUGGUGACAUUGAACACAUUUUAUAAGUGGUCAGAAACUUGUAAAUAACUCAUGAAAGAAUAAAGUUAAAAUAAAACCAAGCA